CACGCUCUCCCCAAACGUCUUGAAUGAACUCUUCCGUGUUUUCACACAGGCGGCACCAAGCGGCUACUAAACCAGUCAGACGGGUCUGCCCUGUGUAGACAACGUUGCAGUGCUGCUUUUAGUUUUUCAGCUUUUCAUGUAGCUAAGGUCCAUUAGUUGCCCCCCAUCACGAAAAGCCCCUUCAGCCUGGGGCAAGCUCUAAUGGCAGGGGUGGCUGCAACUGAGCUCUUAACACAUCCACAGCAGGAAGUUAAGGGUUCUCAAGUUACCUGGCCAGCUUAAGGACAAGGAAAUGUUGAGUGCUAAUACACGGCUAAUAGAACCUAUCCUGCUGAAACAACAGUGCAUUCAACACAUCUGAUGAAGAAGAGAAGAUCAGGGCACAACACUUACAGCUUUAACCGGCCCCCGGUUUUCAACAUAAGCUCUUUUCUCUAACAUGUAAGAAUAAAGGAGUCUGCUGGCUUUGUGCCUCCGCUGACAGAAAGGACCCUUGGCCCCAGCCAACAAUUUGCAGGUAAUCUUCAAACUGAGGGAUGGGCCGGGGGGUGGAUUGUGAGGUCUGGGGGGUAUGAGAGAAAAAGAGCACAAAGACAUUGUCAAGGCAAGUUGAAGAGAGGAAGGAAUGUAAACAUGCACUUGAGAAAAGGAUGUGGAAAUGUUUUAACAAAAUGGUGACACAUGCUCAGGUUUCUUUCAAAAGGGUAUUUUUGAUAGCGUGCAAUAUUUGUGGAUUCUCACCAGUUUAAUUUCAAACACAACGAUCUGGCAACCCUCCAUUUUUGCACAGAUUUGAACCGAACAUUUAAUGAUUUGAACAAGACAAAAGUAAGAAAGCAAUGACAAAAGUUAGUUUGUAAGUGAACUUCUUUAUAAACAUAAGAAAUGAUUACAGUUGCACUGUGGUCAGGGGAACAGUUGAGGUCCAUGUGUUGCUGAUGAGGUAGCAGGAGCUCUGGUGAAUUGUGGGAUUGUGACAUGGAAGUGAACCACUGCACUCAAUGUGACCACGGCAACUGUUGAGAGAUGAGGGGAGGGGGUUCUGCCGUGCAACAUGAAACAGUGUCUGUUUUAGGAGAACUAGAGUGGCACCUGUCCCAGCCGUAGAGAGAGCACAAUGUAUGCACAAACCAUUUCAGGCCACUGAAGGAUUUUAGAUCUGCUUGGAGACCACCAGAACUUGUUAUUUUACCGUUUAGGGGGUUGUUGAAUGGUCAAAGGUCAGACUUUAGAUGUCACAAGUCUUACAUAUUUUUUGGACAAUAUAUAUAUAGUUUAGGAUCAUAUAUUUUCAAAUAU